CUAAUAUUUCUUCAUUGUAAUUUUUUUCUUCAAACUGUUGUUUUACCUUUUGGGUUUGCAACUCACAUAUUUCAGGAUCUGUGCAAUUCUUUUUGACUCUCAAAAAUUGGCUGAAUGGAAUAUUUGAUAGCCAUGAUGGAUAGUGACAGCUCGAUGUCCAAAUAUAACUGUUCACGUCUACACUCUUAAAAAAGGUCUUAGACUUAAGAGUGUUAUGUUGGUCAAUAUAAAGAACCAGAUCCAGGAAAUCUAUAUCCGUGGUGCUGUACUUAUAUGUGAAUGAUAAAUUGUGUUCGUUCUUGUUCAUAUAAGCU